rnacentral:rRNA from 1 species
AUUGAACGCUGGCGGAAUGCUUUACACAUGCAAGUCGAACGGUAGAGGGGGCAACCCCUCGAGAGUGGCGAACGGGUGAGUAAUAUAUCGGAACAUGCCCAGUCGUGGGGGAUAACGUAGCGAAAGUUACGCUAAUACCGCAUACGAUCUAAGGAUGAAAGCGGGGGAUCGCAAGACCUCGCGCGAUUGGAACGGCCGAUAUCAGAUUAGGUAGUUGGUGGGGUAAAGGCUCACCAAGCCAACGAUCUGUAGCUGGUCUGAGAGGUCGACCAGCCACACUGGAACUGAGACACGGUCCAGACUCCUACGGGAGGCAGCAGUGGGGAAUUUUGGACAAUGGACGCAAGUCUGAUCCAGCCAUUCCGCGUGCAGGAUGAAGGCCCUCGGGUUGUAAACUGCUUUUGUACGGAACGAAAAGGUCUCUCUUAAUACGGGGGACUCAUGACGGUACCGUAAGAAUAAGCACCGGCUAACUACGUGCCAGCCGCCGCGGUAA